UACGUAGGGGGCAAGCGUUGUCCGGAUUUAUUGGGCGUAAAGAGCGUGUAGGCGGUUCGGUAGGUCCGUUGUGAAAACUCGAGGCUCAACCUCGAGACGCCGAUGGAAACCAUCGAACUAGAGUCCGGAAGAGGAGAGUGGAAUUCCUGGUGUAGCGGUGAAAUGCGCAGAUAUCGGGAGGAACACCUGUGGCGAAAGCGGCUCACUGGACAGUAACUGACGCUGAUGCACGAAAGCUAGGGGAGCAAACAGG
rnacentral:rRNA from 1 species